UAUAUAUACUAUACUAAAAUUGGAAUGAUACAGAGAUUAGCAAGGCCCCUGCACAAGGAUGGCAUGCAAAUUUGUGAAGCAUUCCAUAUUUUC
ensembl:snRNA U6 U6 spliceosomal RNA